rnacentral:rRNA from 1 species
UACGAAGGGGGCUAGCGUUGCUCGGAAUCACUGGGCGUAAAGCGCACGUAGGCGGAUCUCUAAGUCAGGGGUGAAAUCCUGGAGCUCAACUCCAGAACUGCCUUUGAUACUGAGGAUCUUGAGUUCGGGAGAGGUGAGUGGAACUGCGAGUGUAGAGGUGAAAUUCGUAGAUAUUCGCAAGAACACCAGUGGCGAAGGCGGCUCACUGGCCCGAUACUGACGCUGAGGCACGAAAGCGUGGGGAGCAAACAGG